rnacentral:misc_RNA from 1 species
GAUGAAGAACGCAGCGAAAUGCGAUAAGUAAUGUGAAUUGCAGAAUCCAGUGAAUCAUCGAAUCUUUGAACGCACAUUGCGCCCGCCAGCAUUCUGGCGGGCAUGCCUGUUCGAGCGUCAUUUCAACCCUCGACCUCCCUUUGGGGAAGUCGGCGUUGGGGACCGGCAGCACACCGCCGGCCCUGAAAUGGAGUGGCGGCCCGUCCGCGGCGACCUCUGCGUAGUAAACCAACUCGCACCGGAACCCCGACGUGGCCACGCCGUAAAACACCCAACUUCUGAACGUUGACCUCGUAUCAGGUAGGACUACCCGCUGAACUUAAGCAUAUCAAUAAGCGGAGGA